AGCCUACGGGGGGCAGCAGUGAGGAAUAUUGGUCAAUGGGCGCGAGCCUGAACCAGCCAAGUCGCGUGAGGGAUGACGGUCCUACGGAUUGUAGACCUCUUUUGCCGGGGAGCAAGCGUGCGUUCGUGAACGCGCGUCGAGAGUACCCGGAGAAAAAGCAUCGGCUAACUCCGUGCCAGCAGCCGCGGUAAUACGUAGGUGGCGAGCGUUGUCCGGAAUUACUGGGUGUAAAGGGAGUGUAGGCGGGAAAGCAAGUCAGAAGUGAAAACUAUGGGCUUAACCCAUAGCCUGCUUUUGAAACUGUU
rnacentral:rRNA from 1 species